rnacentral:rRNA from 1 species
CCUACGGGAGGCAGCAGUGGGGAAUAUUGGACAAUGGGCGCAAGCCUGAUCCAGCCAUGCCGCGUGAGUGAUGAAGGCCUUAGGGUUGUAAAGCUCUUUCACCCACGACGAUAAUGACGGUAGUGGGAGAAGAAGCCCCGGCUAACUUCGUGCCAGCAGCCGCGGUAAUACGAAGGGGGCUAGCGUUGUUCGGAAUCACUGGGCGUAAAGCGUACGUAGGCGGACCGUUAAGUCGGAGGUGAAAGCCUGGGGCUCAACCCCAGAACUGCCUUCGAUACUGGCGGUCUCGAGUCCGGGAGAGGUGAGUGGAACUGCCAGUGUAGAGGUGAAAUUCGUAGAUAUUGGCAAGAACACCAGUGGCGAAGGCGGCUCACUGGCCCGGUACUGACGCUGAGGUACGAAAGCGUGGGGAGCAAACAGGAUUAGAUACCCCAGUAGUC